rnacentral:tRNA from 1 species
GGAGGGGUACCCAAGUGGCCAACGGGAGCAGACUGUAAAUCUGCCGCAUUUAUGCUUCGAAGGUUCGAAUCCUUCCCCCUCCACCA